rnacentral:rRNA from 1 species
CCGAGGAAAAGAAAUCAACCGAGAUUCCCCCAGUAGCGGCGAGCGAACGGGGAGCAGCCCAGAGCCUGAAUCAGUGUGUGUGUUAGUGGAAGCGUCUGGAAAGGCGCGCGAUACAGGGUGACAGCCCCGUACACAAAAAUGCACAUACUGUGAGCUCGAUGAGUAGGGCGGGACACGUGGUAUCCUGUCUGAAUAUGGGGGGACCAUCCUCCAAGGCUAAAUACUCCUGACUGACCGAUAGUGAACCAGUACCGUGAGGGAAAGGCGAAAAGAACCCCGGCGAGGGGAGUGAAAAAGAACCUGAAACCGUGUACGUACAAGCAGUGGGAGCACGCUUAGGCGUGUGACUGCGUACCUUUUGUAUAAUGGGUCAGCGACUUAUAUUCUGUAGCAAGGUUAACCGAAUAGGGGAGCCGAAGGGAAACCGAGUCUUAACUGGGCGUUAAGUUGCAGGGUAUAGACCCGAAACCCGGUGAUCUAGCCAUGGGCAGGUUGAAGGUUGGGUAACACUAACUGGAGGACCGAACCGACUAAUGUUGAAAAAUUAGCGGAUGACUUGUGGCUGGGGGUGAAAGGCCAAUCAAACCGGGAGAUAGCUGGUUCUCCCCGAAAGCUAUUUAGGUAGCGCCUCGUGAAUUCAUCUCCGGGGGUAGAGCACUGUUUCGGCAAGGGGGUCAUCCCGACUUACCAACCCGAUGCAAACUGCGAAUACCGGAGAAUGUUAUCACGGGAGACACACGGCGGGUGCUAACGUCCGUCGUGAAGAGGGAAACAACCCAGACCGCCAGCUAAGGUCCCAAAGUCAUGGUUAAGUGGGAAACGAUGUGGGAAGGCCCAGACAGCCAGGAUGUUGGCUUAGAAGCAGCCAUCAUUUAAAGAAAGCGUAAUAGCUCACUGGUCGAGUCGGCCUGCGCGGAAGAUGUAACGGGGCUAAACCAUGCAC